rnacentral:rRNA from 1 species
GAUGAACGCUGGCGGCGUGCCUAAUACAUGCAAGUCGAGCGAACGGACGAGAAGCUUGCUUCUCUGAUGUUAGCGGCGGACGGGUGAGUAACACGUGGAUAACCUACCUAUAAGACUGGGAUAACUUCGGGAAACCGGAGCUAAUACCGGAUAAUAUUUUGAACAGCAUGGUUCAAAAGUGAAAGACGGUCUUGCUGUCACUUAUAGAUGGAUCCGCGCUGCAUUAGCUAGUUGGUAAGGUAACGGCUUACCAAGGCAACGAUGCAUAGCCGACCUGAGAGGGUAAUCGGCCACACUGGAACUGAGACACGGUCCAGACUCCGACGGGAGGCAGCAGUAGGGAAUCUUGCGCAAUGGGCGAAAGCCUGACGGAGCAACGCCGCGUGAGUGAUGAAGGUCUUCGGAUCGUAAAACUCUGUUAUUAGGGAAGAACAUAUGUGUAAGUAACUGUGCACAUCUUGACGGUACCUAAUCAGAAAGCCACAGCUAACUACGUG